rnacentral:rRNA from 1 species
UACGUAGGCAGCGAGCGUUGUUCGGAGUUACUGGGCGUAAAGGGCGCGUAGGCGGUGCGGUAAGUCACCUGUGAAAUCUCCUGGCUCAACUGGGAGCUUGCAGGCGAAACUGCCGUGCUGGAGUGUGGGAGAGGUGCGUGGAAUUCCUGGUGUAGCGGUGAAAUGCGUAGAUAUCAGGAGGAACACCUGUGGCGAAAGCGGCGCACUGGACCACAACUGACGCUGAGGCGCGAAAGCUAGGGGAGCAAACAGG